AACUUUUAACAACGGAUCACUUGGCUCUCGCAUUGAUGAAGAACGCAGCGAAAUGCGAUAAGUAAUGUGAAUAGCAGAAUUCAGUGAAUCAUCGAAUCUUUGAACGCACCUUGCGCCCCUUGGACAUUCCGCGGGGCAUGCCUGUUUGAGUAUCAUGAACACCUCAUCUCUCUACGGUUUGCCGUGGUGAGCUUGGACUUUGGAGGCUUGCUGGCCCACGGUCGGCUCCUCUCAAAUGAAUCAGCUUCCCAGUGUUUGGUGGCGUCACGAGUGUGAUAACUAUCUACGCUCGCGGCAGCCUGCCUCGUAACCUUCGGAGACGGAGGUUCGCUGGAGCUCAAAAACGUCUCUCCGCAGCGAAGACAGCUUUUUUAACGUUCAAUCUCAAAUCAGGUAGGACUACCCGCUGAACUUAAGCAUAUCAAUAAGCGGAGGCU
rnacentral:misc_RNA from 1 species